rnacentral:rRNA from 1 species
AUUGAACGCUGGCGGCAUGCCUUACACAUGCAAGUCGAACGGCAGCACAGGUGCUUGCACCUGGUGGCGAGUGGCGAACGGGUGAGUAAUACAUCGGAACAUGUCCUGUAGUGGGGGAUAGCCCGGCGAAAGCCGGAUUAAUACCGCAUACGAUCUACGGAUGAAAGCGGGGGACCUUCGGGCCUCGCGCUAUAGGGUUGGCCGAUGGCUGAUUAGCUAGUUGGUGGGGUAAAGGCCUACCAAGGCGACGAUCAGUAGCUGGUCUGAGAGGACGACCAGCCACACUGGGACUGAGACACGGCCCAGACUCCUACGGGAGGCAGCAGUGGGGAAUUUUGGACAAUGGGCGAAAGCCUGAUCCAGCAAUGCCGCGUGUGUGAAGAAGGCCUUCGGGUUGUAAAGCACUUCUGUCCGGAAAGAAAUCCUUGGCCCUAAUACGGUCGGGGGAUGACGGUACCGGAAGAAUAAGCACCGGCUAACUACGUG